AGAGGGUGAUCCCCCACACUGGCACUGAGAUACGGGCCAGACUCCUACGGGAGGCAGCAGUAGGGAAUAUUGGUCAAUGGAUGGAAGUCUGAACCAGCCAUGCCGCGUGCAGGAAGAAGGCGUUAUGCGUUGUAAACUGCUUUUGCCAGGGGAUAAAAUGAGCGUGCGCGCUUAAUUGAAGGUACCUGGUGAAUAAGCCACGGCUAACUACGUGCCAGCAGCCGCGGUAAUACGUAGGUGGCAAGCGUUGUCCGGAUUUAUUGGGUUUAAAGGGUGCGUAGGUGGCCCUGUAAGUCAGUGGUGAAAUAUCUCAGCUUAACUGAGAGGGUGCCAUUGAUACUGCAGGGCUUGAGUACAGAUGAGGUAGGCGGAAUUGACGGUGUAGCGGUGAAAUGCAUAGAUAUCGUCAAGAACACCGAUAGCGAAGGCAGCUUACCAAGCUGUAACUGACACUGAGGCACGAAAGUGUGGGGAUCAAACAGGAUUAGAUACCCUGGUAGUCCACACUGUAAACGUUGAUGACUCGAUGUUGGCGAUACACAGCCAGCGUCCAAGAGCAAUCGUUAAGUCAUCCACCUGGGGAGUACGCCGGCAACGGNGAAAC
rnacentral:rRNA from 1 species